GGGCUGUUAGCUCAGUUGGUAGAGCAGCUGACUCUUAAUCAGCGGGUCGCAGGUUCGAAACCUGCACAGCCCA
rnacentral:tRNA from 1 species